CUCCUGACGCUGCUUGCGGAGCUCCAGCUCGCACAAGCCGGCCAGACUUGCCUCCAGGCGCUCCUUGGUCCGGCUGCGCUCCGCCGUCACCGGGAAGGAGAAGGCGCGGUGCAUAGUCCGAAUUGCUUCUAGAGAACACUGUCAAACGCGGCCACGGAGCCCCGCCCUCGCUCCGCCACAGUCCACGCACGGUCCCAUCUGGGUCGGGAUUGGAGCUCGGGAGGCGGAUGGGGGUGUCUGUGAGCCAUGGACAUCCCAUCCCCCUUGAUUCAUUCCAGACUCAGCGACCUCACCCAUCUCCUCGUCCCCCCUGAUGAGGAGGGAGAGUGGAAUACUUGAGGGGGAGGGCUCCUCUUUAAAACUGUUAAAAAGAAGAAUGAUGAGGGAAUCAGUAGAGAUAAGACUGCAGGAAAAAAUUUAAAACGAUUCUCAUGGUUCCAGAAGAACCACUCAAAGGCAAGUCAACACCUGGAUUCAACUAAGCAAAUAGUUCACAUCCUCUCAUUGGAUAUGCACUGACUGCACGCAUUAAUAGCUUUCAUCUGGCUGUGAGAUGCUUCAAAAAUUAUGUUGCACAACUGCAGGGGGGAGAAAACAUUUUUUGAGCAAGAGUCUCAUAGAUAACAAUCCAGAAUAAAGCAAUUGUAAAAUGUUUAUUAACAUUUCAGGCAAUUUUGUAAUGAAAUAUUUGGCAAACAUGGUAGACUAUUAGCACAAAGUGAAAAUAAGUGAUCUCACCCUUAACAACAAUGCUGGUGUCAAACAAUCAAAUAACAAAGUUUUCAGCAUUUUGGAACCUUACUUAAACUUGAAUGUAUUGGUUUAGCUUUGGUGUUUAUUUUUCAAAUAUUAUGUAUAUACGGUUUUCAACAUUGCCUUCAGAAGUCACCCGAUAUAAAUCUGCCUGUUCCGCGAAGGCUCGGCAACUCACCUGAAAGGUCAGGGAAAAGGUUGCAUGGUUUGAUGGUGGUCAGAGAAGCCAUCAAGAGGUCACAGGUCAUGAAAGAGCUGUAGAAAUCCACAUCUCACUUGGAAGAAUCUGUCCCUAGGACAACUACUGUAUAAGUCGCGCACUCAACUUUUAUGGAAAAUUGGCAAGAAAGUGAAUCCAAGUCACAUGAACUCCAGUUUUCCAUGUAGUGGACACUGUAAACUUGUAAAAAAGUGCUUCUGAUCAGAUGACAAUUUUUUUAAAAUCUGAAUUUUCUACCUACAGCAUUUUUGAGCUUGGACUACUGCCCUGUUGAUCAACAAAUGUCGACUGAUAUAAAACAAACCUCUCAAUGGGUGUUGGCCUUUGUUAAACAAGAUCCCUUUCAUAUUAACUAUAAAAUAACUCAAUAGAUUGGCUGUAAACUGCUGCUUGGCUUAAGAAAAUAACUAGAAGCUACACUAAUUGGAGAACAAAGGCUUCAUUUUGGAAUAUAGAGCAAUGUGGUAUGAGGAUGGGCACAGAAAGCAGUGACGUCUGUCCAAGCCCGUGUUUUAUGAUCACUUGUGCUAUGCGAGCCCUAAAAGGGAGGUGAGCGGACUAUGUAAAUCCACUGAAU